UUCGUUCGAUUCUGAUUUGGAGAAAAAAAUUGGGUUCCAAUUCUAGGGUUUCGUUCUCCGUUCGAUUCCAUUUUGGAGAAGAAAUUAAGUUCCGAUUCUAGGGCUUCGUUCUUCGUUCGAUUCCGAUUUGGUGAAGGUUUUGUGAAGAUUUGGUUUCUUUCUAGGUCUUCCUUCGUUCGAAUGGAAAUUUGGAAAAGUCUGUCGUGUUUUUGUUUUAGUGAUGAUUCCUUCGUUCGAAUGGAAAUUUGGAGAAGUCUACGGUGUUUUUAUUUUAG
rnacentral:lncRNA from 1 species